rnacentral:rRNA from 1 species
CCUACGGGAGACAGCAGUGGGGAAUAUUGCGCAAUGGGCGAAAGCCUGACGCAGCGACGCCGCGUGAGGGAUGAAGGUCUUCGGAUCGUAAACCUCUGUCAGUAGGGAAGAACGGUCACGGUGCUAAUCAGCAGUGAAUUGACGGUACCUGCAAAGGAAGCACCGGCUAACUCCGUGCCAGCAGCCGCGGUAAUACGGAGGGUGCGAGCGUUAAUCGGAAUUACUGGGCGUAAAGCGCUCGUAGGCGGUAUGUCAAGUCAAGGGUGAAAUCCCCGCGCUCAACGUGGGAACUGCCUUUGAAACUGGCAAACUGGAGUGUGUGAGAGGAUAGUGGAAUUCCCGGUGU